rnacentral:rRNA from 1 species
AUUGAACGCUGGCGGCAUGCUUUACACAUGCAAGUCGAACGGCAGCGCGGGCUUCGGCCUGGCGGCGAGUGGCGAACGGGUGAGUAAUGCAUCGGAACGUGCCCAGUAGUGGGGGAUAGCCCGGCGAAAGCCGGAUUAAUACCGCAUACGACCUGAGGGUGAAAGCGGGGGACCGAAAGGCCUCGCGCUAUUGUAGCGGCCGAUGUCGGAUUAGCUAGUUGGUGGGGUAAAGGCUUACCAAGGCGACGAUCCGUAGCUGGUCUGAGAGGACGACCAGCCACACUGGGACUGAGACACGGCCAAGACUCCUACGGGAGGCAGCAGUGGGGAAUUUUGGACAAUGGGGGCAACCCUGAUCCAGCCAUGCCGCGUGCGGGAAGAAGGCCUUCGGGUUGUAAACCGCUUUUGUUCGGGAAGAAAUCCUCUGGGCUAAUACCCCGGGGGGAUGACGGUACCGGAAGAAUAAGCACCGGCUAACUACGUG